GGGGAGGUGCCAGAGUGGACGAUUGGGGCCGCCUGCUAAGCGGUUGUGGGGGCUAAAACCUCCACCAAGGGUUCGAAUCCCUUCCUCCCCG
rnacentral:tRNA from 1 species